GGCGAACCGGGGGAACUGAAACAUCUAAGUACCCCGAGGAAAAGAAAUCAACCGAGAUUCCGAAAGUAGCGGCGAGCGAAAUUGGACUAGCCCUUAAGCUUUACACGCGUUAGACGAACGGUCUGGAAAGUCCGACGAUACAGGGUGAUAGUCCCGUAGUUGACGACGUGUGUUCAGUGAAAUCGAGUAGGGCGGGACACGUGAUAUCCUGUCUGAAUAUGGGGGGACCAUCCUCCAAGGCUAAAUACUACUGACUGACCGAUAGUGAACCAGUACCGUGAGGGAAAGGCGAAAAGAACCCCUGUGAGGGGAGUGAAAUAGAACCUGAAACCGUGUACGUACAAGCAGUAGGAGCAGGCUUUGUCCUGUGACUGCGUACCUUUUGUAUAAUGGGUCAGCGACUUAUAUUCAGUGGCAAGGUUAACCAUCUAGGGGAGCCGUAGGGAAACCGAGUCUUAACUGGGCGUUCAGUCUCUGGAUAUAGACCCGAAACCAGGUGAUCUAGCCAUGGGCAGGUUGAAGGUUGAGUAACAUCAACUGGAGGACCGAACCGACUAAUGUUGAAAAAUUAGCGGAUGACUUGUGGCUAGGGGUGAAAGGCCAAUCAAACCUGGAGAUAGCUGGUUCUCCCCGAAAGCUAUUUAGGUAGCGCCUCGGACGAAUACUACUGGGGGUAGAGCACUGUUAAGGCUAGGGGGUCAUCCCGACUUACCAACCCUUUGCAAACUCCGAAUACCAGUAAGUACUAUCCGGGAGACACACGGCGGGUGCUAACGUCCGUCGUGGAGAGGGAAACAACCCAGACCGCCAGCUAAGGUCCCAAAUUACUACUAAGUGGGAAACGAUGUGGGAAGGCUCAGACAGCCAGGAUGUUGGCUUAGAAGCAGCCAUCAUUUAAAGAAAGCGUAAUAGCUCACUGGUCGAGUCGGCCUGCGCGGAAGAUGUAACGGGGCUAAGUAGUAAACCGAAGCUGCGGCAAUGUGCUUUUGCACAUUGGGUAGGGGAGCGUUCUGUAAGCGGUUGAAGGUGUGUGGUAACGCAUGCUGGACGUAUCAGAAGUGCGAAUGCUGACAUGAGUAACGAUAAAGGGGGUGAAAAACCUCCUCGCCGGAAGACCAAGGGUUCCUGUCCAACGUUAAUCGGGGCAGGGUAAGUCGACCCCUAAGGCGAGGCCGAAAGGCGUAGUCGAUGGGAAACGGGUUAAUAUUCCCGUACUUCUUACAAUUGCGAUGGGGGGACGGAGAAGGCUAGGUGGGCCUGGCGACGGUUGUCCAGGUUCAAGUGCGUAGGCUU
rnacentral:rRNA from 1 species